UUUGUUUGUUUAGCAUGAAAUAAAAUCUACAAGUCUAUGAGGCUAAGCGUUUUGUGUGUAACUGCGAUUUUUACACUCGCCAAGUGCUUGCACUGUGUACUUGCAAUGGGUAUUAACUUGGCAUUUGAUGCGGCGAAGCUGAGCCGGCCAUUCCUGCUUAUUUUCAGUACAAACCUAACUAUUUGGUAUGAGCUACUCAGUGUGCGUUGUGUGUGUGUGUGUCUGAGCAUGCGGGAAAACUUUUGAAUGCCGCUGAACAGUUCGUCCAGCUCAGAAGUAGAAGUCGCUUCCAAAGAAACGCAUUCUGUGGUAUGUAGCUUUGACAAAGCUUUUUUUCAUUGUUCUAGCUCAGCACACGUUGCUGCAGCUUUUGCAUCCAAUAGAUGGUGCAGUCAUUCAAUAGAACAUAAAAAGAGUUCGAAUUCGAAUUUUUCGAAUUGAUUAUUGUGAUAAUACAUGUGUCACACGUGAUUUUCAUUUUGUGUGCCUGUGUGAGUGUGUAUUUGAUGAUGAAAUCUUGCCUGAAGACUGCAUUCAUUUGAAUGAUUUUUUCUGUAUUUUUGUUCCCGUGAUCUAUGAUCUACUCAUCGUUUGAAAAUGGAGCAUUUACGAUAUUGCAGAAAGCCACAGCGGUUGACGAUUCAAUGUUGAGUGUCUUCAUGCGAUGAACCCACAAGGUUAUCCUAUAGGAUCUAUAGACACAAACUUGGAUUAAACAUUGGAUCGAUUAUCAUGUUCAGUCGCAAUAUUGAACCACAAAGUGGUUUGCUCAAUGGCACGCGUUUAUUUGUAAAUAGACGCAGCAUUGAAGCUCGAAUAUUGACAAGGAGGCUAUGAUUCAUUUUGCAGCAAAACGAUCGAGAUCUUAAGCUACCAUUUAAAUUGGUUCGUGGACGAUUUCCUGUCGUAUUGGCUUUUGCUCUGACAAUUAAUUAAUGUUUUAAGGAAAAUCUUUCGAUAAAAUAAGUGUGUACCUUCCUACACCAGUAUUGCAACAUGGAAUGAUUUAUGUGGCUUUUUGCCGCUGCAAAAAUCCUAAUAAUCUGAAGAUUUUUGUUCAUGAAAUUGAGGAAAAUAUCAACAAUGACCACAGUAUCUAUACCAAAAAUAUUGUAUUUCUUCAACUUUUUGAUUAGCAAUAAUAAUUAUGCUGUUCGGUGUACGCAA